rnacentral:pre_miRNA from 1 species
CUCACAGAGGUUUUUGGCAUUCUGUCCACCUCCAUCUCAUGCACAUGUUGCCCCAAAAUUAAGAAAAGAGGGUGCAAAUUAAUAUAUACAUAUAUAUAUAUAUAUAUAUAUAUAUAUAUAUAUAUAUAUAUAUAUAUAUAUAUAUGCAUGUAAAAAAUGGAGGUGGGCAUCCUGCCAAUAGAUCUCUGUUGG